rnacentral:rRNA from 1 species
CCAGACUCCUACGGGAGGCAGCAGUGGGGAAUAUUGCACAAUGGGGGAAACCCUGAUGCAGCCAUGCCGCGUGUGUGAAGAAGGCCUUCGGGUUGUAAAGCACUUUCAGUUGUGAGGAAAAGUUAGUAGUUAAUACCUGCUAGCCGUGACGUUAACAACAGAAGAAGCACCGGCUAACUCCGUGCCAGCAGCCGCGGUAAU